rnacentral:rRNA from 1 species
CCCGCAACGAGCGCAAUCCUUGUCAUUAGUUGCUACGAAAGGGCACUCUGAUGAGACUGCCUGUGACAAACCGGAUGAAGGUGGGGUUUCUCUCAAGUCCUCAUGGCCCUUAUAGGUGGGGCUACACACGUCAUACAAUGGCUGGUACAGAGGGUUGCCAACCCGCGAGGGGGAGCUAAUCCCAUAAAACCACUCGUAGUCCGGAUCGCAUUCUGCAACUCGACUGCGUGAACUUUGAAUUCCUUUUAAUCCCCGAUCAAAAUGUCGCGGUUAAUAUUUC